rnacentral:rRNA from 1 species
AGGAUGAACGCUGGCGGCGUGCCUAACACAUGCAAGUCGAACGUCCUGUCUCGCAAGAGGCAGGGAGUGGCGGACGGGUGAGUACCACGUGGGUUAUCUACCGUGAGGUGAGGAAUACCGGCGAGAAAUCGCCGACAAGACCGCAUAGCCUCGGUGCAAGCCGAGGAAAGCUUUCUCGAGAGAGGGAGCGCCACACGAGGAGCCUGCGCCCGAUUAGCUAGCUGGUGGAGUAACGGUUCACCAGGGCGACGAUCGGUAGCUGGUCUGAGAGGACGAUCAGCCACACUGGGAUUGAGAACGGCCCAGACUCCUACGGGGGGCAGCAGUGAGGAAUUUUCGUCAAUGGGGGCAACCCUGAACGAGCAACGCCGCGUGCAGGAAGAAGGUUUUCGGAUCGUAAACUGCUUUUCUCGGGGAAGAGGAACGGACGGUACCCGAGGAAUCAGCCCCGGCUAACUACGUGCCAGUAGCCGC